ACGCUCGACACCUACGGGAGCAGCAGUGGGGGAUAUUGCGCAAUGGGGGAAACCCUGACGCAGCAACGCCGCGUGAAGGAGGAAGGCCUUCGGGUUGUAAACUUCUUUAAGUGUGGAAGAAGAAGACGGUACACACAGAAUAAGCCACGGCUAACUACGUGCCAGCAGCUGCGGUAAUCUGAGCGGGCUGGCAAGGC
rnacentral:rRNA from 1 species